AGAUUGAACGCUGGCGGCAGGCCUAACACAUGCAAGUCGAGCGGUAGAGAGGUGCUUGCACCUCUUGAGAGCGGCGGACGGGUGAGUAAUGCCUAGGAAUCUGCCUAGUGGUGGGGGAUAACGUUCGGAAACGGACGCUAAUACCGCAUACGUCCUACGGGAGAAAGCGGGGGACCUUCGGGCCUCGCGCCAUUAGAUGAGCCUAGGUCGAUUAGCUAGUUGGUGAGGUAAUGGCUCACCAAGGCGACGAUCCGUAACUGGUCUGAGAGGAUGAUCAGUCACACUGGAACUGAGACACGGUCCAGACUCCUACGGGAGCAGCAGUGGGAAUAUUGGACAAUGGGACGAAAGCCUGAUCCAGCCAUGCCGCGUGUGUAGAAGAAGGUCUUACGGAUUGUAAAACGCUAACUUUAAGGUUGGGAAGGUAAAGGGUUUAGUAAACCCUUAAAGUUACGUU
rnacentral:rRNA from 1 species